rnacentral:rRNA from 1 species
GACGAACGCUGGCGGCGUGCUUAACACAUGCAAGUCGAGCGGUAAGGCCCUUUCGGGGGUACACGAGCGGCGAACGGGUGAGUAACACGUGGGUGACCUGCCCUCAGCUCUGGGAUAAGCCUGGGAAACCGGGUCUAAUACCGGAUAUGACUCCAUGACGCAUGUUGUGGGGUGGAAAGCCUUGUGCGGCUGAGGAUGGGCCCGCGGCCUAUCAGCUUGUUGGUGGGGUGAUGGCCUACCAAGGCGACGACGGGUAGCCGGCCUGAGAGGGCGACCGGCCACACUGGGACUGAGACACGGCCCAGACUCCUACGGGAGGCAGCAGUGGGGAAUCUUGCGCAAUGGGCGAAAGCCUGGCGCAGCGACGCCGCGUGUGGGAUGACGGCCU